rnacentral:rRNA from 1 species
UCCGGAGGGUGCAAUCGUUAUCCGGAAUCACUGGGUUUAAAGGGUGCGUAGGCGGCUAGCUAAGUCAGAGGUGAAAGUUUGCCGCUUAACUGUAGAACUGCCUUUGAUACUGCUAAGCUUGAAAGAAGUUGAGGUUAGCGGAAUGUGACAUGUAGCGGUGAAAUGCAUAGAUAUGUCAUAGAACACCAAUUGCGAAGGCAGCUGACUGGGCUUGAUUUGACGCUGAGGCACGAAAGCGUGGGGAGAGAACAGG